GACGAACGCUGGCGGCGUGCUUAACACAUGCAAGUCGAGCGCGCGGCGGACGGGUGAGUAACGCGUGGUAACUGCCCAGUCGAGGGGGGUAACAGUUGGAAACGACUGGUAAUACCCCAUACGCUUGGAUUGACCAGGUUGGAUUAGCUAGUGGGUGAGGGAAUGGCUCACCAAGGCGACGAUCCCUAGCUGGUCUGAGAGGAUGAUCAGCCACACUGGAACUGAGACACGGUCCAGACUCCUACGGGAGGCAGCAGUGGGGAAUAUUGCACAAUGGGGGAAACCCUGAUGCAGCCAUGCCGCGUGUGUGAAGAAGGCCUUCGGGUUGUAAAGCACUUUCAGCGAGGAGGCGUUACUCGCAGAAGAAGCACCGGCUAACUCCGUGCCAGCAGCCGCGGUAAUAC
rnacentral:rRNA from 1 species